GGGCUCGUGGUCUAAUGGUAUGGCGCGCCCAUGGCAUGGGCGAUACUGCGGGUUCGAUUCCCGCCGAGUCCA
rnacentral:tRNA from 1 species